rnacentral:rRNA from 1 species
AGCGAACGCUGGCGGCAGGCCUAACACAUGCAAGUCGAACGAACUCUUCGGAGUUAGUGGCGGACGGGUGAGUAACACGUGGGAACGUGCCUUUUGGUUCGGAAUACUCAGGGAAACUUGUGCUAAUACCGAAUGUGCCCUUCGGGGGAAAGAUUUAUCGCCAUUAGAGCGGCCCGCGUCUGAUUAGCUAGUUGGUGAGGUAACGGCUCACCAAGGCGACGAUCAGUAGCUGGUCUGAGAGGAUGACCAGCCACACUGGGACUGAGACACGGCCCAGACUCCUACGGGAGGCAGCAGUGGGGAAUCUUGCGCAAUGGGCGAAAGCCUGACGCAGCCAUGCCGCGUGAAUGAUGAAGGUCUUAGGAUUGUAAAAUUCUUUCACCGGGGACGAUAAUGACGGUACCCGGAGAAGAAGCCCCGGCUAACUUCGUG